ensembl:lncRNA
CGAACCCAGGGCCUUGCGCUUCCUAGGCAAGCGCAGUACCACUGAGCUAAAUCCCCAACCCCAAGCAGCCCCUUUUAUAGUGAGUCCAGCACGCCUGGCUGUUGCCAGGUAACUGUGGGGCGGAGCCUAGACUAAAUGCCUACAGGUUGGUAGCAUCAGGAGUUACUUCUGUUUCUAGCAUCUAUUCCUUUGGAUCCCAUUUAAAGGUAUUUCCUACUCAGUCGUUGGGGUUCAUAAGAAGUUGAGUGAUGACCCCCUUUUUCUGGAAAUAAGUUUCCCCUUCUUUGGAGUAUUUGAGACAUCACUCUCUUCCCGUGGAAGCAACUCUGCCUGUAACACUGCCAUUUGCUAACCCCAGUUGUUCUGCUCUGUUAAGCGGAGGCCACCAGAACUGUAGCGCCAUGACCGCCAUCCGGCUGGAUUUACUGCUUGUGGGCUUCUUCUGUCCCCAACUCUGUGGCCCGUGUGGAUUUCUAAAGACUUGAAAGAGCAGCAUCUCCCAGCUAAGAGAUUCGAUGUGGGGUCCGUGUCUAAGUUGUAGGUGCCCUCCAGCCUUGUGAAACGGUGUGGUCAUUUAGAGGGCGCUAUCGUACGCACAAGGUUCAAGCUAAAGACAAGGACAUAAGAAUUUAGGAGAUCACUCAAGGUUCUUUCGUGGAAAUGCAGUUGGAAGCCUGAGCUAAGGAAAACCACUUCGUUUACGGAGUUGAAAUAGUUGGAGCUAGCAGACCCGUGGCAGUCGUGAGACACACAACCUAGCUGUUAUUUUGGUUGUUACCCUCUGGAAAAUAGGUGUAUAAAGGACUGCAUUAGUGAGAAGUUCAUCUCCCACUCCGUUGUUUGACUAACUGGGCAUGCCUAGAUACAUGUGAAUGUAAUAAUGAGGGUAUCGUCUUAUCAAAGUGUCCCGUGCUGCUACUGUCGGCGCCGCUGCGGUUUGCUGCAGGGUCCCAGAACCGUAGUGGAGCAUGAACCCACAUUUGCUUUUGUGAGUUUACUCACAAAAUAUUUUAUCUUUCAUCAAGUUUUUGUGCCUUGUCUGUGGCCCAGUGUAUAGUUGAAGCCUUUUUAAGUGUGGUCUCAUACUAUGUAGUUCAGGCUGGCCUUGAACUCUGUCAUCUCACCUGCUCACUUGUGGACUCAGGGGCCUGUCAGCUCAGCUGGCCUUAAUGCAAUGCGGCUGAAACGGGAACUUGAGGAAAAGUCAGCUGGCUGGGGUUCCCAGGGCACAGGGGGGAAGGAAAGUUUAGCUGAAGUGGACACAGGUGAAAGGCUAAGGCAGAUUCGUGAGGGAACAUUUGCUGAAGCAGACACAGGAGAGCAGAUGUUCUGCUAAAGCAAGCCAGGCAAAGGACACAUGAUGAAGGAUUCUUUGCUAACAACACGCCAGUAUUGGUCUGCCUUACACUGCAUUUGUCCGAACUCCAUAGAGAGCAACACACCCAAAAACAAAACCAACAACAAAAACCAAAAAAAACCCUCGGGUGAUGUGCUGCAAUUUCUUGCUGCUUCCUCGGACUCUGGCUGAUUGGCAGAGCCAUGUUAGCUGAGACAGCUGCACGUGCUGAGGCAAGGCCUAUGGAGGACACGUGAUGUUUGGAGAGCAUAAAUAGGACUCAACAGUGACGGAGACAGCCUGACUUGCUGGUACAGCUAGCUGUACAGUGCUUGUGGGUCUCGAAACCACUGAUCUCCGCUUCCCUGAGAGAGGCACAGCCGAGAACUUGUGGUGUUUGUCCCGGACCCUCCUGCUGACUCGAGCUGAGGCUGAAGCCUGGCUGUCUCUGCUAGGUCAUGCCAUCACUGCUGAGUCCCAGUUGCUAUCCCGACUCUACUGAACUGGACUCCUGGUGUCCUGGAAGUGUUUGCAAGUGGAUGAACGCCUGAUGCUGACCUGUGAACUGACCUGCCGAUUUUUAGACAACACAGAUGGGAGUUGCUCCAAAGAAGCUUUCUAAACAGGUCCACUGUAUCCUUUCUUUUCCACUACUACCGGGGUGGGUGGUGGGUUACAAGGGAGGUUAAAGCAUUUAAGAACCAUCAUUAAAAGUAGGAGUUGAAAAGGUUAAAGUUACAUGUAGCUAUAAUGAUAGUGGUUUGUAAAGGUGUCUUUUAGGGAUGGGCGGGGGGUGGUAAUACACAUUCACAAGGCUUUGUAAUGUAUGACUUUGGUGUUUUUGUUUACUGUGGCACCAGGGCUUGAAUCAGAGCUUCCUAUCUGGUAGCCAUGCACUCUGCCAUUAAUCUAUACCCCUAGUAGUUCUUGUUUCUGUUUUUGUUGGUUUGUUUUUGAGACUAUUCAUUUAUGAGUUGAUGCCUAGGCCUAAGCUAGUCUUGAGCCUCAACUAGUCCAUAACUCGAUUAGCCCGUUGAUACUCUUCUGUGUCUGCCAUGUGGCUGGUCACCUCUCCUGAGUUGCAUACUGAGUGCAGGUAGGACAUCUUCGUGCACCUCACUCUUUGUCAGCGUUCCUGUAUUUCUGCCAGAUGUCCCACCUUUGCUAUAGGCCACUCAGCUCUUUAUUGACAAGUGACACUUUUACACAGUGCACAAGAGAUUGUCUUCCCCUACAGUGCAAGGCUUACAGGUGUGCACCACCAGGCCAUUAAACAUGUUCAAGUGUGUAAAUUUGAUGUGCCCUUUGGUCGUAUUUAGAUCCUUCAUGAAUAAUUCUUGAUGCCUAAGUCAACAGCUCCAUGCAUUUAUGGGUCAACAAAUUUCUGUUAAGUCUGUGGGCCUUCAGUCACGGCAGCUCCAGCAGCCUUGGGCAGCUGGCAGGAGGUAGCCUCUGCUUGCACAGUGCCCGCCCGUGUACUGGGUCUAGUGGUGCACGUUUGCUAGGCUCCUCCUGUGAUAGGGAGCUAUGGUCCUGCGUUCUCUGUACAGGGACAAAUCUCAAGAAGAAAGUGACUAAAGUUCCUUGCAGAAAGUACUUGGUUCAGAAGUAGACAGCCUCAAAGAGUAUCCAAGUUGGGCUACACUUACUGUCAAAUAUGGUGGAGAUAAGACUUGGCUAGCUGUAAUUAGGCAAGUUAAAAUUGUGGUUGAUUCUUGAUGGACUCACUGGAAAUAGGUCUGGAAACUUAGGUGGUCACAUAUAAAACAUGGGGUGAGCUCCUUCAUACCAGAUUGUCCAGGAUUGGGAGCAGAGGCCUCUGGUUAGUCUUCAGCACUGAUAGAGCUGCAUGCAGACUGGACCUCUCAUCUGGUGACGAGUGGGGAAUGUCAGGUAGUGCUCUAGAUUUUCCAGAUUGCUGAAAAGAUGAGCUGAGUCUGUCCUAAAGCACAGACCCAAGGCAGCAUUCGUACUGAGUGGUCCUGGAAACCUGGAGAGCAGCCCCCUUUAUGUGGGACUCAAGAUGUAUUUUCCAGUAAUGAACCUAACUUUUAAGAAUCCAGUCUAACUGCUGAAGAUGUGAAUGUAUGGGGUGUGUGUGUAGUGUGUGCACAUGUGUGCAGUAAAUGAUUUUUUCAUUUAAAAAUUCCCACUUCCACCAACUAUGGAGAGAAAUAAUAGGAAAACACAUGUUAUUUAAUUAUGAUUAAUUUCAAUUUCAGUAGAAUCCCAGCUAGAUGUUACAAUUUAUAGCUUUUUAGACAGAGACAUGGCAAAGGCUUUAAAUAAAUCUGUAGGACUUCAUAAUCUCUUCAAACUAUAUUUCUGAUCCUCAAUAAUAAAAUGCUAUUCCAAGCCUAUGAUAAAAACUUUGCCAAUAUCCUUCCUUGGUCAGAAUCCAAGUUUGUUCUGCCAUCCUAUGAAAGUACAUGUGGCUACCAAAAUUUCUUCUUCACAGUACUUAGAUAUUUGAGCUGGAUCUCUAUGGGGGUUGGGGAGUAAGUAAGGUGAUGUUUUUAUAUGCUCUUGUGUUUAGCUUGGAGCCUAAUUUGGGAGAAGCGUGCUCUCUGGAUGAGUUGGCAGAGGAAGCCAGUUGGUUAACAGAGAUAAGAGCAGCAACCCUGGGUUAAACAAGAAUUGCCACAGCCUCAGUAUUGUGUAAUAGGACGGAGGAAAUGCUAAGGCUGUCAGACAUUUUUGCUCCUCCAAAAGUGAGUACUGUUACAGCUGCUAGUGACCAAGAAGUAACCAACAGCCUGAGGAGACUGGUUUGGAGUAGGAGACAAGGUAAUCAUUAGUGAACACAGCAAUUUCUACUGCAGAGGAGGAAUCUGGAGAGAUCAAGAAGGUUCCCUCUCAUAGAGUGGUUCUCAACCUUCCUAAUGCUUCAACCCUUUAAGUUCCUAAGGUUGUAGUGACCUCAACCAUAAAUGAUUUCAUUGCUACUUCAUAACUGUAAUUUUGCUAGUUAUGAAUUGUAAGUAUCUGAAAUGCAGGCUCUGAUAUACAACCCCUUUGAAAGGGUCUUUCAACUCCCCGAAGGGGUCAUGACUCAUGGGUUGAGAACCACUGCUCAAUAGGUCGAACAUAUUUGUUUUUUAUCAUAGCAGUUAUCUUAAAUAAGAAGAUGAUAGAGUACAUAAAUAAAAUGGAAUAUUGCUCAACUCUAAAGAAAAUGAAAUCACAAAAUUUGCUGGGAAAUGCAUGAACUUCGAAUGUACAUUAUGCAAGAACACCCAGUCUCAGAAAGAGAAACACAUGCUCUACCUCAUAUGGAUCCUAGCCUAUAAUGUACACAUGUAGACUGAUGGUGAGUGUAUGUAGUAAGGAAAACGGGGCCGGUCGGUCGUGUUAGAUGACAAGGACAGAAUACAGGUAAAUGACACGUGGGUUGUGAAAGAGUACUGAGCUGAUUUUUUUUCUAGUUUUUACCCUGUCGUGAAUUCUAUGUGAUGGAUAAGUGCAUUAAAAUGUAGUCUAUAGAAGUUCGUGGCUUCAGGAGGACUGUUCCAACUGAGUUCAUUGAGAUGCAUAAACUUUGGGUCUGUACAAGUGCUUGUUUGAAUGGCUGUGUUAAUGUAGCUAGAUGAUGUCUUUUAUUUGCAAGUUCUUUACAAUAAAGUGAUUUAUAAAGAGAGAUGAAAUAGUCUUAAGUCUUUACAUAAAAAGAAAUAGAACCAAAACUGUAUCUAUGAUUGUGUGUUUUAAGAAAAGAUGUAUGCUGACUUUUUUCUUCCUUAUAAUAAAUUUGUCAAAGACACUUUCAGAAAUAAGUUAAUUAUAUUAGAUGUCAACAUGGCCACAGAGCUGCUAAGGCAACUAACUAAUCAGAAUUACAGACCUUUAAGUCGUGUUAUUUUCGUAGGAUAUAACAACAUCAAAUUCAGGUACAAAUUCAUCAAAGACAAGACUUCUUGGUUUGGAAGACUAGGAAGGGCCAUCUUAAAGAAAGUGAGCCUCUCUGCUCUUUGUGGCUGUUGGGAAGUGGGAAUACUCAGUGUUUUUAUCUUGCUUUCCCUCCCCCCUCUUUGUUAUUAGUUUGAGUGCAUAAAUAUUAGCAUCAAGAGGGAAGACGAGGUCAGAGUGGCAGAGGGAUGGCGUUGACAGGCACAGAAUGGCUUGCAAUGCCUGUUUUUGUAAGAACUCAGUAAGCAAAAUUAUCUCAGGCUGAGAUGUCUCACGCUAUUCAGAGAAGGCCGGCUUUAGUGACAUGUGUCUUGAAUCAUCUGUGUCUAGAUUUGGGGGCAGUUUUUGAUCUUCUGAGGUCUAAUUUACAGCUGCAGAUACUUGUGACUUUGUGUUUGUCCUCCCCAUCCCUUAACCCCCACACCUCAAAUUAUUAUAAGUUCAGUCUUUCAUAUGUUUUCUAAAAAUGGGAAAGUGUUAGAAGUUGUUUUCAGCGCCAUGGGACAUACGUGAGAGUGUGUUUCUUAAAUUAUCAAGUUGGUGUUUCUUAUCUGUUUAUAAGUGUUGAAGGAAGAUUAGGCAGUUACAUUACUUUGGAAAAUAAUAAGUAAAACUCCACCUAUUUUCUACAAAACUUAUCAAGGCAUUUAACAUCCCCUUAACUGUAACUGUUUAAUAUGCUCAUCCUUAUAGGACACGAAUAAAAUUAAACACAUCAAAAACAAAAAGCAUCCCCUCCUUUACUGGGAUGGCCUCAGCUCAUCCCUUAUAAUCACUGCAUGUAGCCAAUAUGAUAAACAUAUUCUUACCCUUAAAUAGGUUAAUAUAAACCUAAUAACCCUUGGAUGUCCAGUUCUCAGAUCUAAUAAGUUUCUGUUUGCAGAAAUUGACUAUUAUGGAAAAUCAUACAUUUUCUACUCAAUAAGGGUAAUGUUUUAUUUAUAUGUGUGUAGUACUUUGCCUGCAUGUAUGUCUGCACCUCUGUGUGCCUGAUACCUAAGGAAGCCAGACGAUGGUAUCGGAUUCCCUGGAACCAGAGUUAGAGACGGCUUUGAGCCACUCUGUGGGUCCUGGAAAUUGAGCCCAACUCUUCCAGAGGACUGGGGCUCAAUUUCCAGCACCCACAUAUGGCUCAUAGCCGUCUCUAACUCCAGUUCCAGGUACAUGAAUUAUACUACCGUUUGAUGACCCGUAUAGGAAAGUAUGAAAAUGUUAUUAAAACAUCCCCCUUUCUGCAUAACUUUAUGAGACUUCCCCGUGUAAAAGAAAAGCUCGAACAAAGUUUGAUAGAUUUAAAGUUUUCCUAAUAGAAAUUGUAAUGUCCCUGCUUGAAGACAUUUUAAAAUAGAAGAUAUUCACAGUGAGUCAGCCUUGUGAACAACCAGAUGUUUUCUUCUGUGUGAAAGGGCUUGACAUGUGGUAGGAUGCCCACUCUAACUAAGGAUAGAGAAGCCCGAAAGCUCUGUUAGACCUGUCUGAGACUUGCCCUCUUUCCCUUAUGGGUGAUAAUCUCGGCAUUCCCUGUUGCUGUCCAAAGGACCUUUUCUGCAGUCUGCUCUGCCCCGUUUCACACACAGGAGUGCAUGAAAAAGGAUGGCAUUGUCACAUAUCAUUUCAUAUAACUCUAAGCAUAUGCCUGCCUUUUUAAAUUAUUACUUAUGCACAGCUGCUGAAAAUUGGUGUCGUGCCAUAGGUUGGAAGUAGGAGGUGAUUUGUCACACACAAUGUCCAAAAGCCAGCAGCGGAGCGGGCCACUGGAAAUGGGGUUCCAUUUCUGGAGUAAGGAGAAAGGUUGGAUGAGGGGGGAAAUGGUGAAAAAUGCAGUUCAGAAGACUGGACUGAACAAGAUUCAUACCACAGAUCCCUUCUAAUCAUACUUGCAGACACAGCCCAUGUUCAGUCUCCUCCUUUCCCCCCUCCCCCGCCACGUACACACACACACACACACACACACACACACACACACACACACACGUUUUUAAUCCUUUAAGUUGCUUUGAAAGUAAGAUCAAGAGAGGUUAAUAUGGUUGUCUUGACAACAGCAGGUUAGACCUGGGAAGUGAGUUGGCUCUGUGCCGCUGUCGUAUGUUCUCUUGUCUCAGGUUACAUCAGACACACUAAUUUAUGGCACGCUAAUUGCAUGGGUACACUUCUCUAAUAGAAAGGUCAAUAUAAAGAUUUCAAGGACUCCUCUGGCCCCUCCCAUCGAGUAGUAACAUCCACUGACUAGUUGUAUGUUCCCUUGGCCAUUUUCUCUUCUGCUCAUGCAAUCUCUAGCGUGUGUACACAUCCGUAUAUCAUCAUUGCGUGAGUACAUGUAUGUGUAUGCUAUGUUGAUAAUUUUUGACUAAUGUUUUCUUUAACUAUACCUGGUUUGUGUGAACAUGAAUAGAGUAUUUUUAACACUCGGCAAGCGGGAAAGCCCUGCUGCUUACCCUCCUCUCGUAGCUUCAUUUGAUACUUUACUGUUUAUGCAUUCAAUGCCCACUGCAGACUACCUUCAAGAAGUUUCUACUUGAAAAUUGAAAGUGUACAAAAAUAGUAUCAGGCUCUUUAUUAAAACCGUGAAGGAGUCUUUCUGUGGUAUAUCGCCUUUGCUAGGAGAUGGGCCGCACGGGAAAGGAUUCUAAGUACAUGCGCACCUCUCCAGUGUCUGUCUGUGCACAUUUGUUUAUGUUAAAGGCAUUUUGCCUUGACACCUGUUGACCCUGUCUGCACUUCUAAGACACCAAGCUCUCCAGUGUCUUAAUAAAGUUAAGGCUUCGCUUGAAUGGACACGUCAGUCUGCUAUGCUUUCCCUGUGAAUUUCAAGGCAGGGCUGAAGGAAUCAAGUGUGUGUGCAAAAUAAGCCACAGCUGUCAGUCAUCCACCAUGUUUUAAGUGUAAGAAAGAGACAUGUAUUUGUUUUAUAGUUGGCAUGGAUACAAGCAGGAAUGAGAAAUGUCAAGAAUUCACGGCAUUUAUGAUUAUGAUUAGUUAGUUGAAUCUAAGCACCUCUAGAUCCAGUCGUGGAUCAUGUGACUUUUCCAUAAAAAUAUCAAGCAUAGAUUCUGACUAGCAGUGUGCACAGAGCUCCCCUGCCAGGCAGUUAAGGUGGCAGUGUCCAGAAAGGCCUCCCUCGUGCCCGGCGAUCACGAUUGGUAGUUAUUUCAGUCAUUCACACAUUUCUCAUUUGCUCUGGCAGACAAGGAGCAAGCUUAGGUUUUUUUUUUUUUCAAUAUGAUCAAACCCUGGCACUGAAGUGCUUUUAUAAUUACUGCAAUUUAUAAUUUUAGCAAUAAUUACUAAGUACACAAGAAUUGUCUAAAAAUAAAAUAAAGAUUCUUAAUCUUGUUAACUCUAAUACUGGCUUGCUUAGAGAUGUAGAGUGAGCGGUUUUAUAUUCUAGCCUUAUUUCUCCCAAGGUGGGCUAAGAUUUGUCAUACAUAGCGUUACGCUGUCUGAAAACCCCAGGUCAGUGCUGCGCUGUUUGAAGUGGUAACUAUGCAGAGUGUAUCCCAGAAUGACAUAGUUUAGAAUGAAAGUAGUUAAGAAUUUAAAAGUAUCUUUUUUUUUCUAUAAAUGAUAUGGAUGUAAUAGUAAUCUUUUCAAAACUAAAUAAAGGUCUUUAUGUUUCUUGGAGAAAACUA